CACACAGAAAAUGUGCAACAAUGAAUAUCUUAUGCUCUGCAAUCUCUCCCAACAUUCAGUCCUAGACAAGUACAUUGUACGUACUCUUCUCAAUCCCUUGCCAAGAGGGAAGGAAUGCAAACUGCUGUUAAUCCUUUGGCAAUAGCAUCAUUUUAUCAGCCACAAGACAUCAAAUGAUUGGAUGGCCAGAGACGUAAGAGCUCCAUGCAACACAAGCCUCCAACUAGUGUGGGUGUUAUCAUCAUUGACAUCAAGCAUGAGCAGUUGAAAGGCUCAGUAAACAGAAUUGUUACAACAUCCUACAGAUAUCCAUCAUUUUCACAAACGGCUGAAGAGAGGGCUGUAUCAGGAGUGGAAUCAUAUUUAUUAAUGCUUUGAAUUCUGUCUUUAAAACUAGAUUUGGAUC